rnacentral:rRNA from 1 species
GACGAACGCUGGCGGCGUGCUUAACACAUGCAAGUCGAACGGGAAGCUUUGACAAGUUUUACUUUGAUGAGUGGACAGUGGCGAACGGGUGAGUAACGCGUAGGUAACCAACCUUAUGCUGGGGGAUAGCCUUUGGAAACGAAGAGUAAUACCGCAUAAGACCACACUGCCGCAUGGCAGAGGGGUAAAAGAUUUAUUGGCAUGAGACGGACCUGCGUACCAUUAGAUAGUUGGUGGGGUAACGGCCUACCAAAUCGACGAUGGUUAGCCGACCUGAGAGGGUGAUCGGCCACACUGGGACUGAGAACGGCCCAG